UUUCUGAAACACACUGUACCAGUGAGAAACGCCACACUGAGAAAUGCCAGUGUGGACGAGGAUUGUUUUCGUUUUAAAACACAGUUUUAAAACGAAAACACACUAGUGAAAACAAGGCCUUAGAAGGGUUUUUCCCUUGUGUGUGUUGGUUGGGGGGUGGCCCAAGAGGAAUCUCACCUAGGGUGCCAAAAUGGCCAGAAAAGGCCCUCAUGUGUGUGUUUACUUUUAGCCAGAGUUCCUGCUUGCACAAUAACCAUACCUAACACCAUACUCUCCCCCUCUCUUUCUGUCGAGCUACACAUGGUACUCCUGAGAUACCAGUGAUCCCGACUCCUUCUGUUCUCCAGACCUGCCUGAUAAAUCCUGAUGCCCUACUUCUGGUUGGAGUUUUCAUCAGUUGGAAGUAACGUGCUGCUGGGGGAUGGCACCACAUGGUCCAGCCUGGAGGUCACUGGGAUUGCUGAGGAUGGGUCACGGGGGAACCUGGAACCUAUCCCAGGAAGCAUGUCUUCAGACUGGGGGAGGAAACCCUUGCAGCACGGGGAGAACAUGCAAACUCCGCACACACAUGGCCCUGGCGGGAAUCAACCCCCAGACCCUGGAGGUGUGAGGCAAACAUGCUAACCACUAAGCCACCAUGCGCCCCCAGUGUUAUACAAAAUAAAGCUGAAUUGAAUUGCAUCAAACACAAGUAGAAUCACAAAUUUAAGAAUCCAAAUGUAUCCACAUCGCUUCAAAAAGACAGAAACACACAGGAGUCCUUCUACCAUGUCACUGGAUACUGUCGUUGGACCAGUGAGUGGACCUUACAACCAUUUACAUUCUUUCAUGUGGUCUGUUUUAAGGUGCAUGUUUGAUCGCCAUAUCAGGGGGAGUAAUGUUAUCUCUAAUUAUUUUUUCUUUUAAAUGGGGCUACAUGUCUAGGGUGUGGGGGAACAUUGACAUGAUAAAGAUUCAGUCACCUGAUUAAGUUCUGUGAGGUCAGGUGGUGAACCAAGCAAGGUCGAAAACUCUGGUAGAUUUUCAAUAAAACUGUGUACAGUAGCUGACAUGAUUGUAUGCUUGAUGUGGUAAUAUGGUGAAGUGCAUAUGUUAUGACUAAGACACAUCUUAAACGAUGUCAUGAUCUCCUCUGCAGACAAUGCUGCGGCGCGCGAUGUGCCCAGAAAGCCGGAGGGCGCACACGUGCACGCUCUGUGAGUGCGCAUGGACGAUGGUGACUUUGUUUACAAUGGACAUAUGCACUUGUUUUGGUUUCUGUUCUGUCUCCUCCCUGCUUAGUUAUUGGUUGGCAUUCGAGGGUGUGUCAUUAUUGGUUCCAGCUGUCUGUAUUCAAGCGUGAUUAUGUUUGCUAUUUAAACCCCUCGUGUUGCUGUGCACUUCGCGCAGUAUUAUCGGUGAAUACGUUUAAGUAUGUUAUGUAGGUGUUAGCCACCUUGAUGCCAAACAGUCGUGUUUUCAUUUCCUGUUCUUGUUCCAUGGCUCGAAUCUAGUUUCAGGUUUAGACCUCGAGUAUAUCUUCCAGUCUAGACUGCCUUUCAUGUUUAUUGACUUUUGUUUUUGAAUAAAGACUUGAAUCUGCAA